rnacentral:rRNA from 1 species
CCUACGGGAGGCAGCAGUGGGGAAUAUUGGACAAUGGGCGAAAGCCUGAUCCAGCAAUGCCGCGUGAGUGAUGAAGGCCUUAGGGUUGUAAAGCUCUUUUACCAGGGAUGAUAAUGACAGUACCUGGAGAAUAAGCUCCGGCUAACUCCGUGCCAGCAGCCGCGGUAAUACGGAGGGAGCUAGCGUUGUUCGGAAUUACUGGGCGUAAAGCGUACGUAGGCGGUUAUUCAAGUCAGAGGUGAAAGCCUGGAGCUCAACUCCAGAACUGCCUUUGAAACUAGAUAGCUAGAAUCUUGGAGAGGUGAGUGGAAUUCCGAGUGUAGAGGUGAAAUUCGUAUAUAUUCGGAAGAACACCAGUGGCGAAGGCGACUCACUGGACAAGUAUUGACGCUGAGGUACGAAAGCGUGGGGAGCAAACAGGAUUAGAUACCCUGGUAGUCCACGCCGUAAACGAUGAUAACUAGCUGUUCGGGCUCUACGAGCUUGUAGUGCGCAGCUACGACAUUAAGUUAUACCGCCGUCGGGAGGUACGGUCGCGAAGAAUUAAAACUUAAAAUUAAGUAAGUUAGUACGGACGUGAGACGUAGCCGAACGGACGACGACGAAGGGAGGUAGGAG